AGAAGCUUCAAGUUGCGGACGCUGCGGUGGGCCAGGGCUUGAUGACAUUUGUUGCCCAGCUGCUGGUGCUACCGCGACGUACUUGGAACAACGCUUCUGCUUAUUUCCUCUGCCUGCACCUUAUAUUUGUUGUGUUUAUCGAGACCUGGCCUGUCUCUGGCUCGUUGAAGACAAAUGGACACAAGUACUGGUUGCUGUUGGUUUGUUUGGUUUGCUCAGUCUGAGCGUGCACGCCAAAAGCCGAUGCGUCUUGCAACCAUUCGCCAGACUUCCCACUACUGCUGCAACGCCAACGUGUGAAGAUCAACCCACACAGCAGCAUGCGUAGCCAUCGGAGGAUGUGGUGCGAAUCGUUGACGUGAACUGGAUGCGAUGGCGCCUGCAUUUCUGUUUGCCUAUCCCUGAUGCUACAACAUUUUCAGUCCCCUUCUUACAAGCCAUCAUUCACCAGGAACUUGAAAACAUUGGCUUACGUUCUGUCUGUGCUGUUGCCAAUCCCAGAGCUAACAAACGCCCUUCUACUAUUUUUGCUCCACCCCGACGCUUCUCUCCGCGUUAUCGCAACCCGACUGAGUAAAGAACUGCCGAUAUGUUUCACCUGCUGCCGCAUUGGUCAUGUCGCCUGAUACUGUCAGAGACCUGGAUUCGAGACCUGUUCAGAGACCUGGAUUGGGAAGAAUUGGGGAUAAGAGUUAAUGGAGAAUACCUUAGUUACUUGCGAUUCGCUGAUGAUAUUGCCUUGCUUAGUAACUCAUGGGACCAAUUGCAAUGCAUGCUCACUGACCCGGAGAGGCAAAGCAGAAUGGUAGGUCUGAAAAUUAAUCUGCAGAAAACUAAAGUAAUUUUUAACAGCCUAGGAAGAGAACAGCAGUUUACGAUAGGUAGCGAGGCACUGGAAGUGGUAAGGGAAUACAUCUACUUAGGGCAGGCAGUGACCGCGAGUCCGGAUCAUGAGACCGAAAUAAUCGGAAGGAUAAGAAUGGGCUGGGGUGCGUUUGGCAGGCAUUCUCAUAUCAUGAACAGCAGGUUGCCAUUAUCCCUGAAGAGAAAAGUGUAUAACUGGUGUGUCUUACCAGUGCUCACCUACGGGGCAGAAACCUGGAGGCUUACAAAAAGGGUUCUACUUAAACUGAGGACGACACAUCGAGCUAUGGAAAGAAGAAUGAUGGGUGUAACGUUAAGGGGAUAAGAUGAGAGCAGAUUGGGUGAGGGAACAAACGCGAGUUAAUGAUAUCUUACUUGAAAUCAAGAAAAAUGGGCAUGGGCAGGGCAUGUAAUGAGGAGGGAAGAUAACCGAUGGUCAUUAAGGGUUAUGGACUGGAUUCCAAGAGAGGGGAAGCGUAGCAGGGGGCAGCAGAAAGUUAGGUGGGCGGAUGAGAUUAAGAAGUUUGCAGGGACAGCAUGGCCACAAUUAGCGCAUGACCGGGGUAGUUGCUGUUUAUUCAAGUAUUUUGCAAAUGUGGCUCGCUUCUAAGCACCCCUUCUUAUCUCUAAAAAAAAACAGAAAUGAACAUCCAGUAUUCUUUUUUAACUUCACUAAGCUUAUCGUAUAGCUCAGUGUUAACAUACAGGUUAACAUACGGUAUUUACAGGUGAGGUUACAGAAAGCAGUAAUAAUUGACAGUAAACACUGCUUGGGUGGUGAAAAACAUGGGAAUCAGGUCAUUUUAUUUUCGACAGUUUUUUUUGGCAUAGGAGGCUAAGCAUAUGGUGAUGUAGCAACACUGUAAAGACUGAAUAAGAUGGAUGUGGAAUGCCUUGAUGACUUCUUUUUCUGUUUUUUAUUUUGCCUUCGAAAGGAAUUUAUUCUGUUCCAGAUAAGGGAGGCAGCUUUUGCAUCUGCAACAGAACAUUGGUGGAUGUUGUGUGAAGCACUUUCUCCAUGUUUUUUCACUACCUGAGCAAGGUAACUUUCUUGGUGCUUCAUCACGCAAUUUAUACAAUCAACUUCCAUUAAUUCUACCCUCACGAGACUGACGGGUCGAAUUAAGAUGCAAAAACCUGCUGAAGCACCGUUGAUUCAUUUGGCAAUAUGUGCUUGAGUAACACGCCUCUGAAAUGAAUGUGCAUCAAAUUUCUAUUUGUCCACAGUAUAAAACUAAAGUAGAAAUGACUUAACUCCAAACCAAAGUAGAAACCUACGCAUACCUCAUUCUUUAGAAUGCCAGCUGAUUUUCCAAAGCCAGCUUCGCCGUAUUACAGCCAUGAUAUGUGGUAAAGCAUAUGAAUGGUGCAACCACGGUUUUAGUUUCGCAAUCGAUUGCACAGCUAGGCAAUUUUCGUCUCAAUGUCCUUCGAAAACAAAAAGUGUUCGUUAGAAUCAGAUAAGUACCACAAUCGGACAUUGUCAGCUACCGUUACUGCUUGAAAAUCUUUCUCGGGUGGGUCAAAAAUAGGCAUUUGAGAGAGAUGGCAUUUGUUUAACGCAUUCACUGUCCCCUAAGCUCUACUGAGACAUGGGCUGCCACUAAAAGGGGUCAUUAUUGGGGUCUGGUCAAGUUCGCAUUAUCCGGCGAAUGCCAGUUUUAGGAUCGAAAUGAUGAAUGUUUAAUUCCAUAGAAAUGCAUGGGCGUCGGCCAGGUUCGAUUUAACUGAAAAAAUUAAAUUAACCGGAGUCAGAUUAUUGGAAGUUUACUAUACACCCUUUUCUGUUCUCCAAGAAGUUGCCAUUUUAAUAUGUAGUUUUCUUCUAUCAGUGUGGCAAUGGUGCUAAAUUUAGCAUUUGUUUGAAUCAUCCAUUGUUCCAAGGACAAGCUACAAAGUAGGGGCACACUUUGAGACUUGAAACAUUUCCACAUAUAAAGACAGGGCAUGUUAACAUCUGUACAAUUAACAUAAGUUGGCUGUAUUGUCUGCAUAGCAUGUGGUUGCUUUUUUGGAAUGUUGUCUUUCUGUAAAACAAAGUUGCAUUUGUUUCAAAUAAAUUGCUGAACCAUU